AGCGUAGGCGGUUCCUUAAGUCGGACGUGAAAUCUUCUGGCUCAAUCAGAAGGGGUCAUUUGAUACUGAGGGACUUGAGAGCAGCAGAGGGAAAUGGAAUUUCCGGUGUAGCGGUGAAAUGCGUAGAUAUCGGGAAGAACACCAGUGGCGAAGGCGAUUUCCCAGGUUGUUUCUGACGCUGAGGCUCGAAAGCGUGGGCAGCGAAGCGGAUUAGAUACCCGCGUAGUCCACGCCCUAAACGGUGGACACUAGAUAUAGGAGGUAUCGACCCUUUCUGUGUCGAAGCUAACGCUUUAAGUGUCCCGCCUGGGGAGUACGACCGCAAGGUUGAA
rnacentral:rRNA from 1 species